CACUCUUUAUCUCUGCCUUUUGGCUAUCACCUAAUUAGCACACAGGCUUCCUGCAUGCCACCUAUACCUGCCUGUUUCGAGGGGUAAAGGAAGCUACAUUCAAGGUAUUCUGUCUUUUUGAGGAUUCUGUGAGAGAUGUUUUUAUAACUCCUUUUUACAAGAUUUUGCUAAUGACCUGGUGGUAAUUGUUAGCAGAUUAACAAGGGUCAAGGUUUUUGCUUUGUAUGUGGAUCUAUUGUUGGUUGGAGCUCACCUUCGUCUGUUAAGCCAUAGAGCAUCAUUCAGAUUCCAGUUUUAGCUUUGUUGAGUGGUGAGAGAACUUAAAGACAUGUGCAUGCCUGGAGUGGAGCAACGCCACCACUAUCACAAGAUGAAACAAGCAUGAGAUUGAGGAGUGCCUUGGUGAAGCAACAUUCUGCUUUAUUUUCUUUGCCCUUCAGAUAAUGACUCUGGGGAAGGAAGAGAAACUCCAGAACUACUUUGUUCUCUUCAAAGACUGAGCCUCAGGAGAAAAAAAGUCUCAGGGCCAGGAUCUGAACCCAGGGAGUCUGGUACUGAGGAGAACUUUAUCUGCCUUCUAAUGUAUGAUGUGAACACACCAGUAAGGGCUACGAUCAGUCUCCAUCUCCUAAAAUUGUGCCACUCACCAGAUGCACUGACAUCACCUGGGAGCUUAUGAAAAAUGCAGCAUCUCAACCUCACCCCAGACCUACCAAAUUUUAAUUUGCAUUUUAAGAAGAUCCCCAGGUAAGUAGCAUGUAAAGUUUGGGAAACACAAGCCUCAAGCAUUAUUUCUGGGAUCAUAUAUAUACUUUUUGUGUGAUAUAGGGAGGAAAACAAUCAGGAUUUUUAGAUCUCAAAGGGAUAAAGAUUUAGAGACAAUGCAGUUCAAUCUCUUCCUUUUAUAAUUGUUGAAAAUAAGUUACAUGGCGGUUAAAUAUGUAUUUAAGAAUAAAUAAAUUCUUAAGAAUUCAAUAAAGAUUUUUUGAGGGUCUGUCACGUUCUAGACUAUAUGCCAAGUGGGCUGGGGAUACAAAGGCACAUAAAUCAUAUCCCCUGGGAGCCAAAUGGAAGAUACAAAUAAAGUGCAUGAGAUUUAUAGGUGCUAUGAUAGAACCAUAUAUCUAUAUCUAUAUCUAUAUCUAUCUAUCUAUAUAUAUACUGUGUAUAAUAGAGCACAGAGGAACAAAGAGGUUGGGUUGGGAAUCAGGAAAGACAUUAUUACAGACAUAGUAUUGGAGCUGAGUCUUGAAAGAUUAAUAGGUAUUAACCAAAGGCACUAGAAUUUGAGCCUUUUCAUUUGCAACUAGGCCAAUGAACAUCAUCAUUCAGGGCCACAAGUUAUUCAGAGAAAGGAGAUAUUUAGAGGAGUGAAUCUCAAACUUGGCUUCACAUAGAAUUACCUGGAGAACUUUCAGAAUGCCUAUUCAUGGCUCCACCUUCAGAGUUACUGAUUUAGUUAGUCUGGGAGGAGAUCUGGACAUUCGUUUCUUUGUUUGUUUAUGUUCUGCAGAUGCCUCUAGGGUCCACACAAGGCUAUUAUAGUUCUUUUGUGCUUGGUUUCCCUCUUAUUCUCUGGAUCUUCUGACCAUUUCAUCUGGUUCCUGACCCAGCUUUCGGCCCUAGACUUCAGACCCACCCUUGUCAUGAAUCGCAACUUGUUACCCCUUGGA